rnacentral:piRNA from 1 species
UGGACAGGUAGCAGGGUGGGACACC